GAUUUUUCAGGCGCCACCAUGUUCCUCUCAUCCAGACGUCGGCACCCAAGGUGGAAGCAGGUCAUGGCAUGCCCGGCCCAGCUGCAGUCCGAGUGCAGAUCCCAUGGCGAGCGUGGGAUCCAGCCCAAAGCACAAGCCACGCACAGCCCGCUAGGUUGAGUGGGUAGGUACCUCCAACAGCCUGGAGCCGUGAGGCCUUGGGCAGGGGCGUUGCCGGCCGUGGAGGUCUCUGGCUGGCAAAGCGGCACCGAAAGAGUCCUGUGUCAUAACCAGACUCACUUGUAGCUUCUGUUGCUCUCCCUAGCUAUUUCCAAAGCAUCCAGGAUAGGUUCAUCUAAAGACAUUCUGACUCAUCUUGGACACGAUCCACUUACUCUGUGGACCCUGUUCACAGAACCUGGAGUCCCUGCUCACCUUCCCCGACCCCUUAUUGCUGGGUCAUGUUCACAAGUUUCUGUCUCUUUUUGUUCCCAGUCCCGGUACCAGCUCAGGUCCAGUCAGCUUCUGAACCUCUACUGUGCAGUGCCUGAGACAAGGUGGAGGAGACACGGACAGUAAAGCUCAGCCAGGUGCAGACUGCAGCCUGGAAGCAAAGGCUGAGACAGGGUGGGAGAGACACCGACAGUAAAGCUCAGCCAGGUGCAGACUGCAGCCUGGAAGCAAAGGCUGAGACAGGGUGGGAGAGACACGGACAGUAAAGCUUAGCCAGGUGCAGACUGCAGCCUGGAAGCAAAGGCUGAGACAGGGUGGGAGAGACACGGACAGUAAAGCUCAGCCAGGUGCAGACUGCAGCCUGGAAGCAAAGGCUGAGACAGGGUGGGAGAGACACGGACAGUAAGCUCAGCCAGGUGCAGACUGCAGCCUGGAAGCAAAGGCUGAGACAGGGUGGGAGAGACACGGACAGUAAAGCUCAGCCAGGUGCAGACUGCAGCCUGGAAGCAAAGGCUGAGACAGGGUGGGAGAGACACGGACAGUAAAGCUCAGCCAGGUGCAGACUGCAGCCUGGAAGCAAAGGCUGAGACAGGGUGGGAGAGACACGGACAGUAAAGCUCAGCCAGGUGCAGACUGCAGCCUGGAAGCAAAGGCUGAGACAGGGUGGGAGAGACACGGACAGUAAAGCUCAGCCAGGUGCAGACUGCAGAAUGGAAGCAAAGGCUGAGACAGGGUGGGAGAGACACCGACAGUAAGCUCAGCCAGGUGCAGACUGCAGCCUGGAAGCAAAGGCAGUGCCACCCUCUUUCGGGGCAUUUCUGGUCACUUCAGUCUGCUGGGGGGAUUCGGUGUCUCACCAGGAGACUCAGGCAUGGACCUGGGUUGCCACUUUCUUCCUGUUACAUGGAUCUCUCUACCAUGCCCCAGACCCAACACCUCCGCCUUCUCAAAGCUGCACUGCACAAGUUCUAGCCAGAGCAGCCUGGUAAGAGAAAGACGUCAAGAGCAUCCAAAUACUUCCUUCCAAAUGAGGAAGCCAAAUGGUCCUUGUUUGCAUUCAAUGUGAUCUUAUAUAUAGAAAACCCUAAAAGCUUUAUCAAAACAUUCUUAGAAUAAACAAAUUCAGUAAAGUUGCAGGAUACAAAAUUAACAUACAAAAACCAGUAACAUUUCUACAUACCAACCACAAACUACCAAAAAAUCCAGGAAAGCAAUUCCAUUUACAAUAGCUACCAAAACCAAAAAACAAACCUAGGAAUAAAUUUAACCAAUGAGGCCGGGCGCGGUGGCUCAUACCUGUAAUACUAACACUUUGGGAGGCCGAGAUGGUGGAUCACGAGGUCAGGAGAUUGAGACCAUCCUGGCUAAUAUGGUGAAAUCCCAUCUCUACUAAAAAUACAAAAAAUUAGCCUGGCCUGGUGGCACACACCUGCAUUUCCAGCUACUCGGGAGGCUGAAGCAGGAGAAUCGCUUGAACCCGGGCGUUGGAGGUUGCAGUGAGCCGAGAUGGCACCAUCGCACUCCAGCCUGGACGACAGAGCCGGACUCUCUCAAAAAAAAAAAAAAAAAGAAAAUUAACCAAUGAGGUUAAAGAGCUCUACAAGGACCAUUAUAAAACACUGAUGAAAGAAGCUGAAUAGGUCACACACACACAAAACGGAAAGUCAUCUCAUGUUCAUGGAUUGGAAUAAUUAAUUUGGUGAAAAUGACAAUACUACCAAAAGCAAU
rnacentral:lncRNA from 1 species